GUUAUGUAAAGUUUUUGUUAUGUUAAGUUUUUCAGUGCCAUUGACUUCCAUUAUUUCUCGGCGUUUUGCUUCAGUUUUCAGUCCAUAAUGGCGGCCGUGCCGUCACGUCAUGGGGGCAACUGUUGCUAUGGUGCGUUCAAUUGAGUUUCGCCUCUUGGCUUCUAUACUCUUUGAUGUUACGAAUAGAGACCCUAUCUGGGACGUUAUAGAGUGCCGAAGUUAUGACGUCACUUUGUAGGCCAAAACGCGGAAGUGAGUUAGCAUUUUAGCACCUCCGGUUCCCUCGCCCUAAAGUCUAUGGGUUUUUUGAAUGGGUUUUUGCUAAAUCGCCUGAAAUAAGGUCUGUGGUUAACAAAGCCUCUAAAUAUUUUCACGUUUUGAUCUAUGACAUAAAACACACCAGUUAUAACCUGCUUGUGAUUUUUUUUAACUUUAUUGUGUCUUAAGAACGGUGGUUGCUAACAAGUUGCUAAAAGGGACUACAUCCUUGGGCGGGGACUUUAGACGUCAUCAUGACAAACAGGAAAUCUCUCACUAACCCGCGUUUCAGCCUCAUUUAGUCUUUUCAAAUUGUAGUUUUUCCAAAUAUUGUUGUACACAGAAUUCUGUGAUAUUAAGGUAACCGAUUAUCAGUUCUUUAUUUCUGUGGAGAGACUGUAGUUCGACAAUGGUGUUUUGUUUUGUCCCGAGAUGCAACCUCAAGUCGUCGAAUGAAAGAUGCUCGUUUUACCGUUUUCCGUCCGGUUACCCAGCGGAGACUCUGGGUUCGUGCUGUAAGCCCAUCUCGAGGUUACUGGAGAUUACAUCAGCUCCAGUUAGAUCCAGCCUCAUAGAAAGACUUCAGACCACCUGUAAAGAGGUGAUGCUGACCCCUGCGAGGACCCCAGAUGACGCCAACUUGAAUCGAUAUGCACAGCUGCCAAAUUUUCCCUAUAUUGUAAUCAUUAUGAUCACACUUGUAAUAAUCGCUUUAAUGAGCUUCUGCCUGAAAUUAAUUCAUGUUAGCUAAUUGUAUGAUUCUUGAACUGUUGAUUAAUGAAAUGAACAUUACUUGGACACAUUCACUUCUGAUUAGCAGAUCACUCUAAAUUGUAAUGUAGAGACAUGCAUUUUCUGUAAAGCUGCUUUGAAACUGUGUAUUGUGAAAUAAAUUUGAAUUGAACUGAACUGAAUAUGCA
ensembl:lncRNA